rnacentral:rRNA from 1 species
CCUACGGGAGGCAGCAGUGAGGAAUAUUGCGCAAUGGGCGAAAGCCUGACGCAGCGACGCCGCGUGGGCGACGAAGGCCUUCGGGUUGUAAAGCCCUUUUGGCAGGGACGAGUGAGGACGGUACCUGCCGAAUAAGUCUCGGCUAACUACGUGCCAGCAGCCGCGGUAAAACGUAGGAGGCGAGCGUUAUCCGGAUUUACUGGGCGUAAAGCGCGCGUAGGCGGUCGGUCAAGUCAGAUGUUAAAGCCCCUGGCUCAACUAGGGGAGGUCAUUUGAUACUGUCCGGCUUGAGGGUGAGAGAGGAGAGUGGAAUUCCCGGUGUAGUGGUGAAAUGCGUAGAGAUCGGGAGGAACACCCGUGGCGUAGGCGGCGUCCUGGCCGACACCUGACGCUGAAGCGCGAAAGCGUGGGGAGCGAACGGGAUUAGAUACCCCUGUAGU